GGGAAACUCACCAGGUCCAGACUGAGUAAGGAUGUACAGAUUGAUAGCUCUUUACAGAUUCUCAGGGUGGUGGUGCAUGGCCGUUCUUAGUUGGUGGAGUGAUUUGUCUGGUUAAUUCCGUUAACGAACGAGAUCUCAACCUGCUAAAUAACCCCGAGAAUCUCCGUGAUUCGAGUGUGGUUUCUUAGAGGAACGUCGCGUGUCUAACGCGAGGAAGUGUGAGGCAAUAA
rnacentral:rRNA from 1 species